rnacentral:rRNA from 1 species
ACAUAUCAUAAGCGGAGGAAAAAGAAACCCAACCGGGAUUGCCUCAGUAACGGCGAGUGAAGCGGCAAGAGCUCAAAUUUGAAAUCUGGGCCCCCCUGGGGGUCCGAGUUGUAAUUUGGAGAGGAUGCUUCGGGUACGGUGCCCAUCUAAGUGCCCUGGAACGGGCGGUCAUAGAGGGUGAGAAUCCCGUAUGGGAUGGGCGGCCGUGCCCGUGUGAAGCUCCUUCGACGAGUCGAGUUGUUUGGGAAUGCAGCUCUAAGCGGGGUGGUAAAUUUCAUCUAAAGCUAAAUACUGGCCGGAGACCGAUAGCGCACAAGUAGAGUGAUCGAAAGAUGAAAAGCACUUUGAAAAGAGAGUUAAACAGCACGUGAAAUUGUUGAAAGGGAAGCGUUGGCCACCAGACGCGCCCGGGAGGGUUCAGCCGGCACUUGUGCCGGUGUACUCCCCCCCGGGUGGGCCAGCAUCGGUUUGGGCGGUCGCUGAAAGGCCCCGGGAAUGUAGCACCCUCCGGGGUGCCUUAUAGCCCGGGGUGUCAUGCGGCCCGCCUGGACCGAGGCCCGCGCUUCGGCGAGGAUGCUGGCGUAAUGGUGGUCAACGGCCCGUCUUGAAACACGGACCAAGGAGUCUAACAUCUAUGCGAGUGUUCGGGUGUCAAACCCGUCCGCGCAGUGAAAGCGAACGCAGGUGGGAACCCCUUUCCGGGGUGCACCAUCGACCGAUCCUGAUGUCUUCGGAUGGAUUUGAGUAAGAGCAUAGCUGUUGGGACCCGAAAGAUGGUGAACUAUGCCUGAAAUAGGGCGAAGCCAGAGGAAACUCUGGUGGAGGCUCGCAGCGGUUCUGACGUGCAAAUCGAUCGUCAAAUUUGGGUAUAGGGGCGAAAGACUAAUCGAACCAUCUGGUAGCUGCUCUGGCGA